rnacentral:lncRNA from 1 species
UUCAGGUGUGUGUCCUGGUGAAAGAAUAUGAGUAACGGGUGGUUCAGGGCCCUUUUGUGCUCUAGCCAAAGCUAACCGCAUUUCAUUCAUUUCCAGCCUCAUCUUUUCCAUUUUUUCCAUGGCCUCCUUCAGCAUUUGAUUUGUCGUCUUUUCUGACUCAACACUAUUGUCUGAGCCAAUCAUGAUUUCUGGUAUGGGC